rnacentral:lncRNA from 1 species
UCGGGCUUGUUGUUGCCUGCCUUCUCAGUGUUUAGGAUGCCUGCCCAUGGUCAGCAGGUAUGGAUAUCAAUGGGUCCUAGGGGGGAAGACAUUCGUGAUGGGGUUGGCAGCGACAAGGAUGAUUCUGUAUACCGCAUUGUUUUAUACGUGCACCUAUGUAUCACUGAAUGUGUGAUUUAUUUAUUGUGUAGUUUUGUGUAAUAGUAUUAACGACGGACUAUAUGUGUUGAAUUCAUCAAUCAUACACUUUUG